rnacentral:rRNA from 1 species
GCUAACUGCGUGCGAGCAGCCGGGGUAAGACUGAGGGUGCAAGCGGUAUCCGGGUGUGGUGGGGUUAAAGGGUCCGGAGGCGGACCGGUAAGUCAGUGGUGAAAGCCUACAUCUUAACUGUAGAACUGCCGUUGAUACUGUCGGUCUUGAGUGUGGUUGAGGUAGCUGGAAUGAGUAGUGUAGCGGUGAAAUGCAUAGAUAUUACUCAGAACACCAAUUGCGAAGGCAGGUUACCAAGUCACAACUGACGCUGAUGGACGAAAGCGUGGGGAGCGAACAGGAUUAGAUACCCCUGUAGUC